rnacentral:rRNA from 1 species
AUGAACGCUAGCGACAGGCUUAACACAUGCAAGUCGAGGGGUAACAGGGUGUAGCAAUACACCGCUGACGACCGGCGCACGGGUGAGUAACGCGUAUGCAACCUGCCUUUGACAGAGGGAUAGCCCAUGGAAACGUGGAUUAAUACCUCAUAGUCUCUUUUUUCUUCCUGGGAAAUAGAGUAAAACGUCAGUGGUCAAAGAUGGGCAUGCGUCCUAUUAGGCAGUUGGCGGGGUAACGGCCCACCAAACCGAUGAUAGGUAGGGGUUCUGAGAGGAAGGUCCCCCACACUGGUACUGAGACACGGACCAGACUCCUACGGGAGGCAGCAGUGAGGAAUAUUGGUCAAUGGUCGAGAGACUGAACCAGCCAAGUCGCGUGAGGGAAGACUGCCCUAUGGGUUGUAAACCUCUUUUCUACUGGGAGAAUAAGCCUUAUGUAUAAGGUGAUGACAGUACAGUAGGAAUAAGCAUCGGCUAACUCCGUGCCAGCAGCCGCGGUAAUACGGAGGAUGCGAGCGUUAUCCGGAUUUAUUGGGUUUAAAGGGUGCGUAGGCGGCUUUAUAAGUUAGUGGUAAAAUUUCGGAGCUUCACUCCGGUCCGCCAUUAAAACUGUAGAGCUAGAGAAUGGACGAGGUAGGCGGAAUAAGUUAAGUAGCGGUGAAAUGCAUAGAUAUAACUUAGAACUCCGAUAGCGAAGGCAGCUUACCAGACCAUAACUGACGCUGAUGCACGAGAGCGUGGGUAGCGAACAGGAUUAGAUACCCUGGUAGUCCACGCAGUAAACGAUGAUUACUAGGAGUUUGCGAUACAAUGUAAGCUCUACAGCGAAAGCGUUAAGUAAUCCACCUGGGGAGUACGCCGGCAACGGUGAAACUCAAAGGAAUUGACGGGGGCCCGCACAAGCGGUGGAUUAUGUGGUUUAAUUCGAUGCAACGCGAAGAACCUUACCAGGGCUUGACAUCCUACUAACGAGAUAGAGAUAUGUUAGGUGCCCUUCGGGGAAAGUAGAGACAGGUGGUGCAUGGUUGUCGUCAGCUCGUGCCGUGAGGUGUCGGGUUAAGUCCCAUAACGAGCGCAACCCUUACCGUUAGUUGCUAGCAUGUAAUGAUGAGCACUCUAGCGGGACUGCCACCGUAAGGUGAGAGGAAGGGGGGGAUGACGUCAAAUCAGCACGGCCCUUACAUCCAGGGCGACACACGUGUUACAAUGGCCAUAACAGCGGGUAGCUACCGGGUGACCGGAUGCAAAUCUCGAAAAUUGGUCUAAGUUCGGAUUGGAGUCUGCAACCCGACUCCAUGAAGUUGGAUUCGCUAGUAAUCGCGCAUCAGCCAUGGCGCGGUGAAUACGUUCCCGGGCCUUGUACACACCGCCCGUCAAGCCAUGGAAGCUGGGAGUACCUGAAGUCCGUAACCGCGAGGAUCGGCCUAGGGUAAUACCGGUAACUGGGGCU